rnacentral:tRNA from 1 species
UAAAAUGGCUGAUAAAAGCAUUAGACUGUAAAUCUAAAGAUAGGGGUUUAAGUC